GGAGGGUAUAGCUCAGUGGUAGAGCGCAUGCCCAGCAUGCAUGAGGUCCUGGGUUCAAUCCCCAGCACCUCCA
rnacentral:tRNA from 1 species